AGGUAACAGGAAAAUAUCUUUUUCUAAAAGCAUUCGAUGUACCGUAACGAUGUGAUUCGUGCAAAACGUGUGCAGUUAGCACUCGUAAUUCUGCAAACUGUUACUACCUGUGUGAGUACAUCAAUGUAUAAUGAUAAAAGCAUACCUGUAGCAUCGUUCAAAGCGUCGGUUUCACUACACCAUAAAUUUCAUCUGUAUUGGUGUUUAGCUACCCAGCAGUUCGCAGCUCUUUCAAUCGUAUCCUUAUAAAUAGUGUAUUCAUCGUUCUGCUGUACAAUCGAUUCAGUGCAGUGCGUCAGGAUACAUAAGCAGACGGUGAUUAUACGGUGAUAUUCAACUGUAGCCAGCAAAUGCACAUUGUGCUUAAGUUACAUAAUUUUGCAAGUGCUUUGUGAUAACCGAAUUUAUCCAUCACGUAUUAAUGCUGGACAAUAUUUUAUUGAUUCGAAUUCGGAUCAAGAGAUAUUUGGAUGGAAGAAAGUGCUGUGAAAAUUUACAAAAUGGUCCUGAAGAUUACACUCUUUCUUGCUCAUAUGUUGAACUGCGAUGGCCGAUUGGGAACGAAAAUGAUUGACGCGGUUAUGAGCGAUAAGCGCUGCAAAAUGCAUCGUUCAAAAUUAUGAUUUCACACCGAUUCUGACUAAAUGUGCAGCCACAUUUUUCAAUAUCAUAAUGGCCGCCGCACUUAGUGAAGCGAUGAUGUAAGCUAGUGUUUGUGCAUGAUGCUGCAAACCAGGACUCAACCGGCUACAAUGAAAAAACGAACAAGUUCACUGUUGGUGGAAUGGAGCAGUUGCGAUGAACCUGGAGGGCGCUCUAAGCGCUUGCUUUCACACAUCCAAACCCUCUACUAUAGUUGGACACGAUGCAUCUAAACAACAAAACAUGAAUCAGUGUUCUAUUCAAUGAAAUCGGGGAAAGAUUAUCCUAGCGAGUAUUCAAACAUUCAGUUAUUCAGA